rnacentral:rRNA from 1 species
UGGGGAAUUUUGGACAAUGGGGGCAACCCUGAUCCAGCAAUGCCGCGUGUGUGAAGAAGGCCUUCGGGUUGGAAAGCACUUUUGUCCGGGAAGAAAUCGCACCUGAUAAUACCGGGUGUGGAUGACGGUACCGGAAGAAUAAGGACCGGCUAACUACGUGCCAGCAGCCGCGGUAAUACGUAGGGUCCAAUCGCUAAUCGGAAUUACUGGGCGUAAAGAGUGCGCAGGCGGUUGUGCAAGACCGAUGUGAAAUCCCCGGGCUUAACCUGGGAAUUGCAUUGGGGACUGCACCGCUAGAAUGUGUCAGAGGGGGGUAGGAGUCCACGUGUAGCAGUGAAAUGCGUAGAGAUGUGGAGGAAUACCGAUGUCGAAGGCAGCCCCCUGGGAUAACACUGACGCUCAUGCACGAAAGCGUGGGGAGCAAACAGG